UGGGGAAUAUUGCACAAUGGGCGAAAGCCUGAUGCAGCAACGCCGCGUGAGUGAUGAAGGCCUUCGGGUUGUAAAGCUCUGUCUUCUGGGACGAUAAUGACGGUACCAGAGGAGGAAGCCACGGCUAACUACGUGCCAGCAGCCGCGGUAAUACGUAGGUGGCUAGCGUUAUCCGGAUUUACUGGGCGUAAAGCGCGUGCAGGUGGUUUCGUAAGUUGGAUGUGAAGGCUCCUGGCUCAACUGGGAGAGGUCGUUCAAAACUGCGAGGCUUGAGAGUGGUAGAGGGAGGUGGAAUUCCGGGUGUAGUGGUGAAAUGCGUAGAUAUCCGGAGGAACACCAGUGGCGAAAGCGGCCUCCUGGACCAUUUCUGACACUCAGACGCGAAAGCUAAGGUAGCAAACG
rnacentral:rRNA from 1 species